rnacentral:rRNA from 1 species
GAGUUUGAUCCUGGCUCAGGAUGAACGCUAGCGACAGGCUUAACACAUGCAAGUCGAGGGGCAGCACAGGUAGCAAUACCGGGUGGCGACCGGCGCACGGGUGAGUAACGCGUAUGCAACUUGCCUAUCAGAGGGGGAUAACCCGGCGAAAGUCGGACUAAUACCGCAUGAAGCAGGGGCCCCGCAUGGGGAUAUUUGCUAAAGAUUCAUCGCUGAUAGAUAGGCAUGCGUUCCAUUAGGCAGUUGGCGGGGUAACGGCCCACCAAACCGACGAUGGAUAGGGGUUCUGAGAGGAAGGUCCCCCACAUUGGUACUGAGACACGGACCAAACUCCUACGGGAGGCAGCAGUGAGGAAUAUUGGUCAAUGGGCGUAAGCCUGAACCAGCCAAGUCGCGUGAGGGAUGAAGGUUCUAUGGAUCGUAAACCUCUUUUAUAAGGGAAUAAAGUGCGGGACGUGUCCCGUUUUGUAUGUACCUUAUGAAUAAGGAUCGGCUAACUCCGUGCCAGCAGCCCGGUAAUACGGAGGAUCCGAGCGUUAUCCGGAUUUAUUGGGUUUAAAGGGUGCGUAGGCGGCCUUUUAAGUCAGCGGUGAAAGUCUGUGGCUCAACCAUAGAAUUGCCGUUGAAACUGGGAGGCUUGAGUAUGUUUGAGGCAGGCGGAAUGCGUGGUGUAGCGGUGAAAUGCUUAGAUAUCACGCAGAACCCCGAUUGCGAAGGCAGCCUGCCAAGCCAUGACUGACGCUGAUGCACGAAAGCGUGGGGAUCAAACAGGAUUAGAUACCCUGGUAGUCCACGCAGUAAACGAUGAUCACUAGCUGUUUGCGAUACACAGUAAGCGGCACAGCGAAAGCGUUAAGUGAUCCACCUGGGGAGUACGCCGGCAACGGUGAAACUCAAAGGAAUUGACGG